AGCGAACGCUGGCGGCAGGCCUAACACAUGCAAGUCGAACGGAUCCUUCGGGAUUAGUGGCGGACGGGUGAGUAACACGUGGGAACGUGCCCUUUGGUUCGGAACAACUCAGGGAAACUUGAGCUAAUACCGGAUGUGCCCUUCGGGGGAAAGAUUUAUCGCCAUUGGAGCGGCCCGCGUCUGAUUAGCUAGUUGGUGAGGUAAAGGCUCACCAAGGCGACGCUCAGUAGCUGGUCUGAGAGGAUGAUCAGCCACAUUGGGACUGAGACACGGCCCAAACUCCUACGGGAGGCAGCAGUGGGGAAUCUUGCGCAAUGGGCGAAAGCCUGACGCAGCCAUGCCGCGUGAAUGAUGAAGGUCUUAGGAUUGUAAAAUUCUUUCACCGGGGACGAUAAUGACGGUACCCGGAGAGGAAGCCCCGGCUAACUUCGUGCCAGCCGCCGCGGUAA
rnacentral:rRNA from 1 species